CUGCUCCACUGUAUGAAAACAAAUCACUCAAUUCAGAUGGAAGUUUUGACUUAUCUGAUGAUGUCUGGCUUACUGUGUCUGAGAUCCCUCUAUUUACGCAGCCUACGAGUGCUCCCCCACCUUCCAGACCUCCACCGCCCAGACCUACACGUCCCAUGAAAAGAAGGGAAGGAGAGAGAGUUAUUUUCGAUUUCUAAUAUUGGAGAGAGACCCACCCAUCAUACUCAGAUCUGACGACGAUAAUCUGUUGGAUCUGCGAUUUGGGGGUGUGAAAAAUCCAAUUCCAAGUAAUCGAUGGACGAUUUCUCAGGCCUUUUAGGUUUGAAGCCGCAGGGAAAAUCAGCUCCGAUGGCGCCGUCUUCGUCGUCCCCAGCAAGGAACAAGUCCGAUUCAUCGCCUCUCUUCGACGAUCUGAGCGGUGGCGACGAUCUCCUCUUCAGCGAUUCGCGAUCUCAGACUAAGCCCUCUGAUUUUGACUACGAUGCGAUGUUCAAGGAUCCCAAACCUGUGUACGACAAGCCUGUGUACGACGAGGAGGACGUCUUCGAAUCGCUUAAAACCCCGCCGGGCUCUCAAUCGGCUAGGUUUGAUGACCUUUUCUCCUCGCAUUCGGUGCACAGGAAGAACAACUCCUCUCCUUUCGAUGACCUGAUUGGGAAUCUGAGCAAGCCGGAGAGAAAACGAGAUGAGAAAGGUAGCUCGGCUUUUGAUGACUUGAUUCCUGGGUUUGGUCGCGCUAGCUCCCCUCCAGCUAAACGGUAGCGUUUCGUUCCUCUUCUUUUAUGUGCUUGUCUAGAGCUAUUUGCUACUGAGAUUCUCCAGUGAAUUGUAGCUUUAACCUACUUGGAGCGAACUUGCAGAUAUCGUAGAAAAUUUUACUAAAGGUUGAACCUUUUGAAUUUUUGAUAGUAAAAGUAGUCAUUCAUAUUGUUUUUCUUUUUUUUGCUCAGGCCAACUUCAGAAACGAGUCAUUCUCAGAAGCCUCCGUAUAGGACAUCUUCCAAUCUUGCAGAAGAUCCAUUUGUGGUCUUGGAGACUGCUUCUACCCCUAGAGAACCUCCUCCCUCAGGAGGGUACACUGAUCCUUUGGAUGAUAUUGGUCUUUUCAACAGCAGAAAGACUGAUCAUUCUUUUGCUGAUAUUGACCCUCUCGAUAGUCUUGGAAAAUCAGGGCCAGAUAUGAGUAGUAGAGACAAAAGUCACCUGAGACCAGGCAACGGCAGUGGCUCUCAGUCACCGGUGGAGAGUUCCCACACUGGGAGUUACCAUGGUAAGAAAGUUUCUUUCGAUGAAGUCUUGGAGCCGCAGAGUACUUCUGUUCCUCAUGCUACUGCUCCACUGUAUGAAAACAAAUCACUCAAUUCAGAUGGAAGUUUUGACUUAUCUGAUGAUGUCUGGCUUACUGUGUCUGAGAUCCCUCUAUUUACGCAGCCUACGAGUGCUCCCCCACCUUCCAGACCUCCACCGCCCAGACCUACACGUCCCAUGAAAAAGAAGGCUAACGAGCCUCACUCACAUGUUCGUACCUCAGCUAGAGCUUCUGUAAAUAGCCCUACAGCAUCUCAAAUGGAUGACCUUGACGAUUUUUCUAUGGGCAAAAAUCACACUGCUGC
rnacentral:lncRNA from 1 species